rnacentral:lncRNA from 1 species
CCAAAAUUCACUUGUCUUGAAGUCUSUGCUAAAACACCACCUACUGACUAACCAUGUAAACCUGCUCCUGUAAUUCAUAACCUCACUGUCCUUCCUUACAUGACAUAUACACUUCCAGGCCUGUUUGUCCCAACAUUAUGGGUGCACGCUUCUAACUGGGAAGAGAAUAUCUACUCCUUUGAAGUAAUAAACUGUAUUUCAUAGGAUGCAAACUCCUGUGAAAACUGUUUGCCAUGUUCAAAUGAAAAAUAUUUCUAAAAAUUGCUAAUAACUAUCUUUUCGAAAUGAAUGCAUUACCACUCUGAAAAUUUGAUAAGCAAAUAUCCUUAAACUGAAAUUUCCCACGCCUGUAGCCUAAUUGCGUUCUCCAUUGUUGCAUUUGUUUCCUCUAAAAAAGAAAAAGGGCAGUUGAAUGUAGCACAGCAUUCAGAGUUUGGUAUUAAUGCAAAGAAAUAGUACAAAAAGGUCCAUUGAGUCAUAUAGUGACUCAGAAAGCAAUAGAGGAGAUCCCUUUCUGGCUAUGCAGAAAUGUCAGUGGUUCAUCAUGAGAGCAGAAAUCUCUUAAACAUGCUGGAAGAGGCAAUUAGUUUCUUCAUCUGUUUUUAAAAAGUGAAGCAAGUCUAGCAAGGUGCAGUACGGAAGUGCAGCGUUGUACGCAACUCCACAGGAAGCAAGAUUGAAGCUACUGGGGAAGUUCAGAACUGGGUGACCUCCAACGGAUGCAAAUAGCGCAGAUUUCUAUUGAGGAAUUCGGUCUUAACUUUUGUGUGUUGGAGUUUCUUGGCUUGGGAAUUUUCUGUAUCAGGAAUGAAAUGGAACCAGUUUCUCUCCACUUGGAGCUCUCAAGGAAUGUGCAACCUGGGAAAUGUUAUUGCAAGAUAAUUAACUUGAGCACAUUUAUUCUGGGCUGAGCUCGCCAGGUCUUGUAUUCYGUCCAGGCAUCUCUCCUGCUGGUUGAGAGGUUUCUUGGCAAGGUCAG